rnacentral:rRNA from 1 species
CAGCCGCCGCGGUAAUACGUAGGUGGCAAGCGUCGUCCGGAAUUAUUGGGCGUAAAGGGCUCGCAGGCGGUUUCUUAAGUCUGAUGUGAAAGCCCCCGGCUCAACCGGGGAGGGUCAUUGGAAACUGGGAAACUUGAGUGCAGAAGAGGAGAGUGGAAUUCCACGUGUAGCGGUGAAAUGCGUAGAGGUGUGGAGGAACACCAGUGGCGAAGGCGACUCUCUGGUCUGUAACUGACGCUGAGGAGCGAAAGCGUGGGGAGCGAACAGGAUUAGAUACCCCCGUAGUCCCUGUCUCUUAUAC